AUUGAACGCUGGCGGCAGGCCUAACACAUGCAAGUCGAACGGCAGCGGGGGGUAGCUUGCUACCCCGCCGGCGAGUGGCGGACGGGUGAGUAAUGCCUGGGGAGCUGCCCAAUCGAGGGGGAUACCAGUUGGAAACGACUGCUAAUACCGCAUACGCCCUGAGGGGGAAAGGUGGGGAUCUUCGGACCUACCGCGAUUGGAUGCACCCAGGUGGGAUUAGCUAGUUGGUGAGGUAACGGCUCACCAAGGCGACGAUCUCUAGCUGGUCUGAGAGGAUGACCAGCCACACUGGAACUGAGACACGGUCCAGACUCCUACGGGAGGCAGCAGUGGGGAAUAUUGCACAAUGGGGGAAACCCGUGAUGCAGCCAUGCCGCGUGUGUGAAGAAGGCCUUAGAGUUG
rnacentral:rRNA from 1 species